UACGUAGGGUGCGAGCGUUAAUCGGAAUUACUGGGCGUAAAGCGUGCGCAGGCGGUUUUGUAAGCCAGAUGUGAAAUCCCCGGGCUUAACCUGGGAAUGGCAUUUGGGACUGCAAGGCUUGAGUACGGUAGAGGGGGAUGGAAUUCCGCGUGUAGCAGUGAAAUGCGUAGAUAUGCGGAGGAACACCGAUGGCGAAGGCAAUCCCCUGGACCUGUACUGACGCUCAUGCACGAAAGCGUGGGGAGCAAACAGG
rnacentral:rRNA from 1 species